rnacentral:rRNA from 1 species
UGGGGAAUAUUGGACAAUGGGCGCAAGCCUGAUCCAGCAAUGCCGCGUGAGUGAGGAAGGCCUUCGGGUUGUAAAGCUCUCUCACCCACGACGAUGAUGACGGUAGUGGGAGAAGAAGCCCCGGCUAACUUCGUGCCAGCAGCCGCGGUAAUACGAAGGGGGCGAGCGUUGUUCGGAUUUACUGGGCGUAAAGGGCGCGUAGGCGGCCCGUUUUGUCAGGCGUGAAAGCCCUGGGCUCAACCUGGGAACUGCGCUUGGGACGGAUGGGCUUGAGAUCGGGAGAGGAGAGUGGAAUUCCCAGUGUAGAGGUGAAAUUCGUAGAUAUUGGGAAGAACACCGGUGGCGAAGGCGGCUCUCUGGACCGACACUGACGCUGAGGCGCGAAAGCGUGGGGAGCAAACAGGAUUAGAUACCCUGGUAGUCCACGCUGUAAACGAUGUGUGCUAGACGUUGGGGAGCCUAGCUCUUCGGUGUCGCAGCUAACGCGGUAGGCACACCGCCUGGNAGNGUACGGCCGCAAGGUUA